GUUAAGCGACUAAGCGUACACGGUGGAUGCCCUGGCAGUCAGAGGCGAUGAAGGGCGUGCUAAUCUGCGAUAAGCGCCGGUAAGGUGAUAUGAACCGUUAUAACCGGCGAUACCCGAAUGGGGAAACCCAGUGUGAUUCGUCACACUAUCAUUAACUGAAUCCAUAGGUUAAUGAGGCGAACCGGGGGAACUGAAACAUCUAAGUACCCCGAGGAAAAGAAAUCAACCGAGAUUCCCCCAGUAGCGGCGAGCGAACGGGGAGGAGCCCAGAGCCUGAAUCAGCAUGUGUGUUAGUGGAAGCGUCUGGAAAGGCGCGCGAUACAGGGUGACAGCCCCGUACACAAAAGCGCAUGUGUUGUGAGCUCGAUGAGUAGGGCGGGACACGUGGUAUCCUGUCUGAAUAUGGGGGGACCAUCCUCCAAGGCUAAAUACUCCUGACUGACCGAUAGUGAACCAGUACCGUGAGGGAAAGGCGAAAAGAACCCCGGCGAGGGGAGUGAAAAAGAACCUGAAACCGUGUACGUACAAGCAGUGGGAGCACAGGUUUACCUGUGUGACUGCGUACCUUUUGUAUAAUGGGUCAGCGACUUAUAUUCUGUAGCAAGGUUAACCGUAUAGGGGAGCCGGAGGGAAACCGAGUCUUAAU
rnacentral:rRNA from 1 species